rnacentral:rRNA from 1 species
CAUAAGCAAAAUAAGGGCGUAUGGGGGAUGCCUAGGCUCUCAGAGGCGAAGAAGGACGUGAUAAGCUGCGAAAAGCUACGGGGAUCGGCACACACGACUUGAUCCGUAGAUAUCCGAAUGGGGCAACCCACUAUGUUGAAGACAUAGUAUCCGAUAGGAGGCAAACCCGCUGAACUGAAACAUCUAAGUAGGCGGAGGAGAAGAAAACAAAAGUGAUUCCGUAAGUAGUGGCGAGCGAACGCGGAACAGCCCAAACCAAUGUUGUUACGGCAAUAUUGGGGUUGUAGGACCACGA